GAGAUGAAGGGAAUGAAGGUUAGCUCAUGAAUGGUAUGGGGCUGGUGUUUUGGAGUAUACUGGGGGUGGCAGCAGGGGCAACUAUUUGGGAGUUAAAAGGUCCUGGGGCUGGAUAUAGAGAUGGAUUGUGGCAAAGGACUACUAUGAGAAAAUAGAAAAGGAGGCAAGCUGUAAUUAUGUUUAUCAAUCCUUUUGAAUUUUGAAACUUCAAUUUCCACAAAAGAGCUGAUGGAUGGAUGUCAAGAAAAAUGUCGUUGGGGACUUAUUCCUUGUUGGAGUAAUUAACACCUUCCUGUCUCGAGCUAGAGGCUGAGUCUUGGGGUAGAGACUGGGAUGAAGAUCACAGGUGCAGACAGACUGUUUGACCUCUGGUAACUAAAACUGCAGAAGGCAAAACUGGAUAAGGAGACUACUGUAAUUAUUAUGCUAUUAUAAGACACUCGAUUGCUAACAUCAGACAUUUUUAUAAUAGAACUUCCAACACUAUGUUGAAUAGGAGUGGUGAGAGAGGACAUCCAAGAAACCACCAUCAGAGUGAACAGGCAACCUACGGAAUGGGUGAAAAUUUUUGCAAUCUGCUCAUCUGACAAAGGGCUAAUAUCCAGAAUCUACAAUGAACUCAAACAAAUUUACAAGAAAAAAACAACCCCAUCAACAAGUGGGCGAAGGAUAUGAACAGACACUUCUCAAAAGAAGACAUUUAUGCAGCCAAAAGACACAUGGAAAAAUGUUCAUCAUCACUGGCCAUCAGAGAAAUGCAAAUCAAAACCACAGUGAGAUACCAUCUCACACCAGUUAGAAUGGCGAUCAUUAAAAAGUCAGGAAACAACAGGUGCUGGAGAGGAUGUGGAGUAAUAGGAACACUUUCACAUUGUUGGUGGGACUGUAAACUAGUUCAACCCUUGUGGAAGUCAGUGUGGCGAUUCCUCAGGGAUCUAGAACUAGAAAUACCAUUUGACCCAGCCAUCCCAUUACUGGGUGUAUACCUAAAGGAUUAUAAAUCAUGCUGCUAUAAAGACACAUGCACACAUAUGUUUAUUGUAGCACUAUUCACAAUAGCAAAGACUUGGAACCAAGCCAAAUGUCCAACAGUGAUAGACUGAAUUAAGAAAAUGUGGCACAUAUACACCAUGGAAUACUAUGCAGCCAUAAAAAUGAUGAGUUCAUGUCCUUUGUAGGGACACGGAUGAAGCUGGAAACCAUCAUUCUCAGCAAACUAUCACAAGGACAAAAAACCAAACACUGCAUGUUCUCACUAAUAGGUGGGAAUUGAACAAUGAGAACACAGGAAGGGGAACAUCGCACACCAGGGCCUGUUGUGGGGUGGGGAGAGGGGGGAGCGGGGAGGGUUAGAAUUAGGAGAUAUACCUAAUGUUAAAUGACGAGUUAAUGGGUGCAGCACAACAACAUGGCACAUGUAUACAUAUGUAACUAACCUGCACGUUUGUACAUGUACCCUAAAACUUAAAGCA